CUAGUGGGCAGAUGGCGGGAGUGAUCUCGUGUGAUAUAACUGUGUUAGAUGGUUAGAUUAGUUUAUAAAUUGUAGUGUUUAAUAAUCUAGAAUAGUUAUAAAAAUGACUAGAGCUAAAAUAGAACUGGGG
rnacentral:misc_RNA from 1 species